AAGUGUGCCCAAAUAAAAUGUAGCCAUGUUAAAACAGCGGCGAGCAGCGUUCAAUGUGAUCGUCUCUACCUGUAGCAUGGCACA
rnacentral:snoRNA from 1 species